GUGUUUGUGUAUGUGUUGUGUCUGUGUACGUAUCUGUGUGUUUAUGUGCAUGUGUAUGUGUGUCUGUGUUUGUGUCUGUUUGUGUGUGUGUUGUGUUUAUGUCUGUGUUAUUUAUGUCGUGUGUGUUUGUGUCUGUGUGCACGUGUAUGUGUGUUUGUGUCUGUGUGUGUGUGUCUUUGUGUUGUGUGUAUGUCUGUGUUGUGUGUAUGUGUUGUGUGUGUUUAGGUCUGUGUUGUGUGUGUAUGUGUUGUGUGUGUUAGGUCUGUGUUGUGUGUGUUGUGUGUGUAUGUGUUGUGUGUGUUUAUGUGUGUGUUGUGUGUGUUUGUGUCUGUGUGUCUGUGUGUUGUUUGUGUGUGUGUGGUUUUCGUGUGUGUGUGUGUGUGUGUGUGUAUGAUUCCUGUGUUGGGAUCAGGUAGAUGCGGGUGAUGUGACUAAGCUCUGGGGCCAUCUCUUAGGGAUUUAAUGGCUUCUUGAGGAGAGACAGUCAUAGGGAAGUUCCGUCGGGGGGUUCCCUGGGUGGGGGCUAGAGGGAGGUGGCACUGGACUCUGCGUGGCGGGCCUGGGGAAGACUUUACCGGAGGUGCAGGCGUAGUGGGAGCCGAACAUUGAAGGAGAAUUCCUCACCCUUCUGCAUCCAGGCAGAGGACCCAGCAUGUGCAAAGCAUGGGCUUAUGAAGAGGAGCCAGGCGUGGCAGGAAGGCCUGUGCCAUGCUUGAGGGUGAACUUGGUUUUGAAGAACAAGGAGGGAGUGAGGUGGUCAUCCACUUUCCCUGUCUGCCCACUCCCUGACCCUUUCCGCACCUGCCCUCUUCCUUCCCAGUCAAAAGGGGUAGGAAGGGCUCUCUCUGGGCCAUGAAAAGAAAUCCAAGCAAGAUGCCCCGGGACAGAGGCAAGAGCAAUGAGUUCCACCCAAUCUGGGAUGUCUGGAAAGAUCCACCGAGGUGGUGACGCUUGAGCUGAACCUUGAAAGAUGCGUGGACGGGGAAAAUGGAGUUCUCCCAGCUGAGCAAACAGCACCUGGGAAGGCUCAGAAGCUGAGGGCCCGGAGGGGUAGGCAGUGAGGUGGCAAACGUGCAUGGAGCCAGGUCAUGGAAGCCUUCCUUAUGCUGGGUUAGGGAGCUGUGGUUUUUAUUCUGUGCUUAUGGCCACCUUGAAUCCAGACUUUGCCUUUUUUUAUUGUUGUUGCUUUUUUUGAGAUGGAGUCUCGCUCUGUCGCCCAGGCUGGAGUGCAGUGGCGCGAUCUCGGCUCACUGCAAGCUCCGCCUCCCAGGUUCAUGCCAUUCUCCUGCCUCAGCCUCCCAAGUAGCUGGGACCACAGGCGUCUGCCACCACACCCGGCUAAUUUUUUGUAUUUUUAGUAAAGACAGGGUUUCACCAUGUUAGCCAGGGUGGUCUCGAUCUCUUGAUCUUGUGAUCCACCAGCCUCGGCCUCCCAAAUUGCUGGGAUUACAGGCGUGAGCCAUCGCGCCGGGCCCAGACUGUGCCUUUUUAAGAUGAGCAAAAGGCACCUUUCCCUGUGGGCAGGCAGCACUUCAUGCAGGGUGCAGUGCUGGGCCCGUGCUGGGGAGAGGGGACUCCCGGGCGGCCACAACCCGCUCAACAUCGGCAGCCCUGGGUGCAUGUCACAGGAGGUGUUUGAACAGGGUUUGUGUCUUGUGCUGAUCAUUUGAAAAUGGAGGGUGGGUUCGAGUGUGGAGUGGGCAGGCGAGGAGUGAGGAGGGACAGACAGGGCUGGGUGGGACCUGACGUCCGGAUGGGCCUUCCCAGGGAGGCUGAGCCGACGUCCGGAUGGGCCCUCUCAGGGAGGCUCACUUAGACCGUGGACCAGAAUCGCGUGGAGAGAGGAACAGGGAGGUUGUUCCCGGGGAAUGACUUGAGCCACCCAGGGGAGAGGCUGUGCUGGGCCCAGGGUGACUGGCCAGCUGGAGCCAAGGGUGAGGGAGUGAGCGUGAGGCCACAGCCCUGAGCAUGCUCCUGACUUUUCCCUUGCCCACCUGCUCCAGAGCUGGGGGACCUCCCUCUGGUCCGCCUGGAUUUCUCCUGUAACCGCGUCUCCCGAAUCCCAGUCUCCUUCUGCCGCCUGAGGCACCUGCAGGUCAUUCUGCUGGACAGCAACCCUCUGCAGAGUCCACCUGCCCAGGUGAGGCAGGUGCCUGGGGGGCCACGGGGACAGGGGUAUGGCUAGGCAGGAGUGGGGUUGGUCCCCUUGGGUAGCUGAGCAGGAUCCAGGGAGCUGCCCUCCCUGCCAACUCCCUGGCGUGUGCUGCCCCGCACACAGGUCUGCCUGAAGGGGAAACUUCACAUCUUCAAGUACUUGUCCACAGAGGCCGGGCAGCGUGGGUCGGCCCUGGGGGACCUGGCCCCUUCUCGGCCCCCGAGUUUCAGUCCCUGGUAAGUCCUAGGUGGGGAGGAAGGAAGCCCUGGGAUACUGAAUGCCCCUUCCCGGCCCCAGGUACCCCCUGCUUUCUGGCAGGAGGAUGGGGGGCUGUUGUCCAGCAUCAGGCUGACCAGAUCCGCUUGGCUGGCCCCAGCCCUGCAGAGGAUCUAUUUCCGGGACAUCGGUACGAUGGCGGGCUGGACUCAGGCUUCCACAGUGUUGAUAGUGGCAGCAAGAGGUGGUCUGGAAAUGAGGUAAGGGCGUCCUGUCCAUGGGAGAUUGAGGGUGUCAGCCCUGGGAGAGCACCUCUGAGCUGGGGACCUCCAAAUUGCAGGGUGCCAGGCAGAGGCUGGAGCUGUCCUCUUCCUUCCCUCUGCCCAGCAUCCCAGGGAAGGGCUGGCUCAGCAGAGACCCUGAGCUUAGUCCCACGCAGGACCCCCCAGGUCCCGAGCCCCCACGUGCAGAGAGGCCAUCUCCUAUCUCUGCCUCUGCCUUUACAGUCAACAGAUGAAUUUUCGGAGCUCUCAUUCCGGAUCUCAGAGCUGGCCCGGGAGCCCCGGGGGCCCAGAGAACGCAAGGAGGACGGCUCAGGUGAGUGGCAGGGCUGGCCGGGAGUUGGGCUGGACCAGGGCCUGGUCCCCGCUCACUUGCUGACAUGCUGGCCUCCCCAGCGGACGGAGACCCUGAGCAGAUUGACUUCAUCGACAGCCACGUCCCCGGGGAGGAUGAAGAGCGAGGCACUGUGGAGGAGCAGCGACCACCCGAAUUAAGCCCUGGGGCAGGGGACAGGGAGAGGGCACCAAGCAGCAGGCGGGAGGAGCCGGCAGGGGAGGAGCGGCGGCGCCCGGACACCUUGCAACUGUGGCAGGAGCGGGAACGGCGGCAGCAGCAGCAGAGCGGGGCGUGGGGGGCCCCGAGGAAGGAUAGGUGGGACCCAGGGCCGCCCGGGGCUGUUGCUGGACACUGAGCCCUGGAAAUGGGGCCACCGAGCCCCGCUGAGCCGUUCUGCCUCGGGACUAGCUGACCCCACCUCUCCUUGUUCCAGCCUCUUGAAGCCAGGGCUCAGGGCUGUUGUGGGAGGGGCCGCCGCUGUGUCCACUCAAGCCAUGCACAAGUAGGUCUCCUGCCAGCAUCCCGUCCCCACUCCUCUUCCUAUAACCAUCCUUCUAAUUCCCUUCUGUCUCUCCUCAGCGGCCCGCCUAAGUCCAGUGCCUCCCAAGCAGGGGCUGCAGCGGGGCAGGGAGCCCCCGCCCCUGCCCCCGCCUCCCAGGAGCCCCUUCCCAUAGCUGGACCAGGUGGGACAGGAAUUUUGGGAGGAGGAUGGGGCCUGUGUUGGUGAGGGCUGGUUGGGAGAGAGGGACAGAGGGGAUGCCUGUCUCACCUGCCCCUGUCGCUGUGUCCCUGGUUCCGGCCCCAGCGAUAGCACCUGCUCCACGGCCGCUUGGCUCCAUUCAGAGACCAAACAGCUUCCUCUUCCGUUCCUCCUCUCAGAGUGGCUCAGGCCCUUCCUCACCAGACUCUGUCCUGAGACCUCGGCGGUCCCCCCAGGUUCCAGAUGAGAAGGACUUAAUGACUCAGCUGCGCCAGGUCCUGGAGUCCCGGCUGCAGCGGCCCCUGCCUGAGGACCUGGCCGAGGCUCUGGCCAGUGGGGUCAUCCUGUGCCAGCUGGCCAACCAGCUACGGCCGCGCUCCGUGCCCUUCAUCCAUGUGCCCUCCCCUGCUGUGCCAAAACUCAGUGCCCUCAAGGCUCGGAAGAAUGUGGAGAGUUUUCUAGAAGCCUGUCGAAAAAUGGGGGUGCCUGAGGCUGACCUGUGCUCGCCCUCGGAUCUCCUCCAGGGCACUGCCCGGGGGCUGCGGACCGCGCUGGAGGCCGUGAAGCGGGUGGGGGGCAAGGCCCUACCGCCCCUCUGGCCCCCCUCUGGUCUGGGCGGCUUCGUCGUCUUCUACGUGGUCCUCAUGCUGCUGCUCUAUGUCACCUACACUCGGCUCCUGGGUUCCUAGGCCCCAAAAUUGGCCGUCCCUCACCCCUUUCCCUCUCCCUCUAUUUAUAAGGCCCCUGCUCCACCCGACCCCACCUGCGGUGCCUUCAGCCCUGACCAAAGACACUAGUGCACCCCCUUCACAGACACUGACCUCAGAGGCCCCACUCUGGUGCCCCCAGACCCUGGGCCCCCAGCCUCUGGCCUCCCUCCAGUAGCCCCACGAGUCCCCACCUCUCAGUGCUGAUGGUGCCUUCAUGUCCCCGCCGGCCCUGCCCCUGCUCUCUGUGCCCCAUGAGGGGUGGCAGGAGCUGGAGUCUCCCCCUUCCUCCUGUGUCCUCCCCUUCCCCCCCAACAGCUGCUAUGGGGGGGCUAAAUGAUCUCUAUUUUGUAGAAAGGAUCUAUAUUUGUAGGGGUGCGGGGCCCAGGCUGGGUCCCUAUCUCUGUGUAUAAACUGUACAGACCGUG
rnacentral:sRNA from 1 species